GUUUGUCUGUAAUCUAAAUCAUUUUUUUUAUCUUACAGGAGAGAGACUUAUGGAUAACAACAUGAAGGCGUUUGAAUGUAUACUGUGCAAAAAAGUCUUUGCCAACAAACAUCGUGCGGCCCGACACUUCUUAAUACACACUGGAGAAAAACCAUUCCAGUGUAAUAUCUGCGAGAAAAGAUUUAACCAAAAGGAGACGCUGAAAACACAUAUGGGGUUACACUUGAGGAAACAGAAUUUGUUAUGAUUUUAUUUUAUUUAAACUUUUGUCCAAUCCUACACACUCACGACUGACGGCUAAGUUAUCUGUGAUGCAAAAUCAUACAAGAUGGCCGCCGUGUUUAUCAAUGUAGUCAAUGUAGUAAGACUUUCAGUACUAAACAACGCGUAGAGAGACAUUACCUUCUUCACACGGGAGAGAGACCGUUCCAAUGCUCAUUGUGCUACAGACGCUUUACACAAAAAUGUCAUCUGAAAACACAUACUGUCAUAAUGCAUGCUGGGAGCUUUGUUUUAGACAAUUAAAUAUACACAAUUUUAGAUUAAAAAGAAGUACUAUAUUU